AGAGUUUGAUCAUGGCUCAGAUUGAACGCUGGCGGAAUGCUUUACACAUGCAAGUCGAACGGCAGCACGGGAGCUUGCUCCUGGUGGCGAGUGGCGAACGGGUGAGUAAUACAUCGGAACGUACCCAGACGUGGGGGAUAACGUAGCGAAAGUUACGCUAAUACCGCAUACGUCCUGAGGGAGAAAGCGGGGGAUCGCAAGACCUCGCGCGUUUGGAGCGGCCGAUGGCAGAUUAGCUAGUUGGUGGGGUAAAGGCCUACCAAGGCGACGAUCUGUAGCGGGUCUGAGAGGACGACCCGCCACACUGGAACUGAGACACGGUCCAGACUCCUACGGGAGGCAGCAGUGGGGAAUUUUGGACAAUGGGCGAAAGCCUGAUCCAGCCAUUCCGCGUGAGUGAAGAAGGCCUUCGGGUUGUAAAGCUCUUUCGGCAGGGAAGAAACGGUUACCCCGAAUACGGGUGAUUAAUGACGGUACCUGAAGAAGAAGCACCGGCUAACUACGUGCCAGCAGCCGCGGUAAUACGUAGGGUGCGAGCGUUAAUCGGAAUUACUGGGCGUAAAGCGUGCGCAGGCGGUUUUGUAAGACAGAUGUGAAAUCCCCGGGCUCAACCUGGGAACUGCGUUUGUGACUGCAAGACUCGAGUACGGCAGAGGGGGGUAGAAUUCCACGUGUAGCAGUGAAAUGCGUAGAGAUGUGG
rnacentral:rRNA from 1 species